UAUUAAACCCGAUUGCAGCGGCAUCCCCAAAUUUUUUCUAUUUGGGAUAUAGCGAAAAGCGGGACUAAUG
rnacentral:sRNA from 1 species